GACGAACGCUGGCGGCAUGCCUAACACAUGCAAGUCGAGCGAGUAGAUCCCUUCGGGGUGAAGCUAGCGGCGGACGGGUGAGUAACACGUGGGCAACCUGCCUCAUAGAGGGGAAUAGCCUUCCGAAAGGAAGAUUAAUACCGCAUAAGAUUGUAGUACCGCAUGGUAUAGCAAUUAAAGGAGCAAUCCGCUAUGAGAUGGGCCCGCGGCGCAUUAGCUAGUUGGUGAGGUAACGGCUUACCAAGGCGACGAUGCGUAGCCGACCUGAGAGGGUGAUCGGCCAAAGUGGGACUGAGACACGGCCCAGACUCCUACGGGAGGCAGCAGUGGGGAAUAUUGCACAAUGGGGGAAACCCUGAUGCAGCAAUGCCGCGUGAGUGAUGACGGCCUUCGGGUUGUAAAGCUCUGUCUUCGGGGACGAUAAUGACGGUACCCGAGGAGGAAGCCACGGCUAACUACGUGCCAGCAGCCGCAGUAAAAC
rnacentral:rRNA from 1 species